UACAGAGGGGGCAAGCGUUGUUCGGAAUUACUGGGCGUAAAGGGCGCGUAGGCGGGCCAUAAAGUCAGGGGUGAAAUCCUCCGGCUUAACUGGAGAACUGCCUUUGAUACUGAUGGUCUCGAGUAAGGUAGGGGCAUGCGGAACUGAUGGUGGAGCGGUGAAAUGUGUUGAUAUCAGCAGGAACUCCGGUGGCGAAGGCGGCAUGCUGGACCUUCACUGACGCUGAGGCGCGAAAGCUAGGGGAGCGAACGGG
rnacentral:rRNA from 1 species